AGCGAACGUUUGCGGCGGGCCUAACACAUGCAAGUCGAACGCACUAGCAAUAGUGAGUGGCGCACGGGUGCGUAACACGUGGGUAAUCAACCCUUCAGCCUGGGAUAACGACUCGAAAGGGUCGCUAAUACCGGAUACGGCGCGAGAGGCUUCGGCUUCUCACGAGAAAGCCACGCAAGGGGCACUGAAGGACGAGCCUGCGGCCCAUCAGCUAGUUGGUGAGGUAAGAGCUCACCAAGGCUAAGACGGGUAGCUGGUCUGAGAGGAUGAUCAGCCACACUGGAACUGAGACACGGUCCAGACUCCUACGGGAGGCAGCAGUGGGGAAUAUUGCGCAAUGGGCGAAAGCCUGACGCAGCCACGCCGCGUGAGCGAUGAAGGCCUCGGUCGUAAGACUCUGUGGGAGGAGACGAAGAAGAC
rnacentral:rRNA from 1 species